rnacentral:rRNA from 1 species
UAAUACGUAGGUGGCAAGCGUUGUCCGGAUUUACUGGGUGUAAAGGGCGCGUAGGCGGGACUGCAAGUCAGAUGUGAAAUCUGGGGGCUUAACCCUCAAACUGCAUUUGAAACUGUAGUUCUUGAGUAUCGGAGAGGCAGGCGGAAUUCCUAGUGUAGCGGUGAAAUGCGUAGAUAUUAGGAGGAACACCAGUGGCGAAGGCGGCCUGCUGGACGACAACUGACGCUGAGGCGCGAAAGCGUGGGGAGCAAACAGG